rnacentral:rRNA from 1 species
UACAGAGGGUGCAAGCGUUGUUCGGAUUUACUGGGCGUAAAGCGUACGCAGACGGACCGUCAAGUCGGGAGUGAAAGCCUUGGGCUCAACCCAGGAACGGCUUUCGAUACUAGCGGUCUUGAGUUUGGGAGAGGGAAGCGGAAUUCCUGGUGUAGAGGUGAAAUUCGUAGAUAUCAGGAGGAACACCGGCGGCGAAGGCGGCUUCCUGGCCCAAGUACUGACGUUCAGGUACGAAAGCGUGGGUAGCAAACAGG